rnacentral:rRNA from 1 species
AGUGAACGCUGGCGGUAGGCCUAACACAUGCAAGUCGAACGGCAGCACAGUAAGAGCUUGCUCUUACGGGUGGCGAGUGGCGGACGGGUGAGGAAUACAUCGGAAUCUACUUUUUCGUGGGGGAUAACGUAGGGAAACUUACGCUAAUACCGCAUACGACCUACGGGUGAAAGCAGGGGAUCUUCGGACCUUGCGCGAUUGAAUGAGCCGAUGUCGGAUUAGCUAGUUGGCGGGGUAAAGGCCCACCAAGGCGACGAUCCGUAGCUGGUAUGAGGGGAUGAUUCGACAGCUUGGAACUGAGAAAGGGCAGCGACACUGACGGGAGGAAGCAGUGGGGAAUCUUGGACAAGGGGGGAAAGCCUGAUCCAGCAAUACCGCGUGGGUGAAGAAGGACUUAGGGUUGUAAAGCCAUUUUGUUGGGAAAGAAAAGCAGCAGGUUAAUACCCCGCUGUUCUGACGGUACCCAAAGAAUAAGCACCGGCUAACUUCGUG